UACAGAGGCCCCAAGCGUUACCCGGAAUUACUGGGCGUAAAGAGUGCGUAGGUUGUCGUAUUAGUCGCCUGUUAAAUACCCGGGCUUAACCUGGGAGAUGCGGGCGAAACGGUACGACUGGAGGACGUGAGAGGUGAAUGGAACUCAUGGUGUAGGGGUGAAAUCCGUUGAUAUCAUGGGGAACACCGAAAGCGAAGGCAAUUCACUGGCGCGUUCCUGACACUCAAGCACGAAAGCGUGGGUAGCGAACGGG
rnacentral:misc_RNA from 1 species